rnacentral:rRNA from 1 species
GACGAACGCUGGCGGCGUGCUUAACACAUGCAAGUCGAACGGUGAACCUCUUCGGAGGGGAUCAGUGGCGAACGGGUGAGUAACACGUGGGCAACCUGCCCCCGGCUCUGGGAUAACUCCAAGAAAUUGGGGCUAAUACCGGAUGUUCACCGCUUCCCGCAUGGGUGGUGGUGGAAAGGGUUUCCGGCUGGGGAUGGGCCCGCGGCCUAUCAGCUUGUUGGUGGGGUAGUGGCCUACCAAGGCGACGACGGGUAGCCGGCCUGAGAGGGUGACCGGCCACACUGGGACUGAGACACGGCCCAGACUCCUACGGGAGGCAGCAGUGGGGAAUAUUGCGCAAUGGGCGGAAGCCUGACGCAGCGACGCCGCGUGGGGGAUGACGGCCUUCGGGUUGUAAACCUCUUUCAGCAGGGACGAAGCGCAAGUGACGGUACCUGCAGAAGAAGCACCGACCAACUACGUG